AUUGAACGCUGGCGGCAGGCCUAACACAUGCAAGUCGAACGGUAACAGGAAGCAGCUUGCUGCUUCGCUGACGAGUGGCGGCCGGGUGAGUAAUGUCUGGGAAGCUGCCUGAUGGAGGGGGAUAACUACUGGAAACGGUACCUAAUACCGCAUAAUGUCGCAAGACCAAAGAGGGGGACCUUCGGGCCUCUUGCCAUCGGAUGUGCCCAGAUGGGAUUAGCUUGUUGGUGGGGUAACGGCUCACCAAGGGGACGAUCCCUAGCUGGUCUGAGAGGAUGACCAGGCACGAGGGAGCGAAGAGACGGUCAGGCACCUAGGGAAGGCAGAAGCGGGGAAGAGUGGAAGCAGGGCGGAAGCUUGAAGAAGGCAUGCAGGGUGGAUGAAGAAGGCCUGCGGGUUGUAAAGUACUUUCAGCGGGGAGGAAGGGAGUAAAGUGAAAACAUGUGCUCAUUGACGUUACCCGCAGAAGAAGCACCGGCUAACUCCGUG
rnacentral:rRNA from 1 species